rnacentral:rRNA from 1 species
AUUGAACGCUGGCGGCAUGCCUUACACAUGCAAGUCGAACGGUAACAGGUCUUCGGAUGCUGACGAGUGGCGAACGGGUGAGUAAUACAUCGGAACGUGCCUAGUAGUGGGGGAUAACUACUCGAAAGAGUGGCUAAUACCGCAUGAGAUCUACGGAUGAAAGCAGGGGAUCGCAAGACCUUGUGCUACUAGAGCGGCCGAUGGCAGAUUAGGUAGUUGGUGGGAUAAAAGCUUACCAAGCCGACGAUCUGUAGCUGGUCUGAGAGGACGAUCAGCCACACUGGGACUGAGACACGGCCCAGACUCCUACGGGAGGCAGCAGUGGGGAAUUUUGGACAAUGGGCAAAAGCCUGAUCCAGCAAUGCCGCGUGCAGGAUGAAGGCCUUCGGGUUGUAAACUGCUUUUGUACGGAACGAAAAGCCCCGGGUUAAUACCCUGGGGUCAUGGCGGUACCGUAAGAAUAAGCACCGGCUAACUACGUGCCAGCCGCCGCUGUAA